rnacentral:rRNA from 1 species
UGAGUGGCGGACGGGUGAGUAACGCGUGAGCAAUCUGCCUCAGAGAGGGGGACAACAGCUGGAAACGGCUGCUAAUACCGCAUAAGACCACAUUGUCGCAUGACAGAGGGGUCAAAGGAGAAAUCCGCUCUGAGAUGAGCUCGCGUCCCAUUAGUUAGUUGGUGAGGUAACGGCCCACCAAGACAGCGAUGGGUAGCCGACCUGAGAGGGUGAUCGGCCACACUGGAACUGAGACACGGUCCAGACUCCUACGGGAGGCAGCAGUGAGGAAUAUUGGACAAUGGAUGGAAAUCUGAUCCAGCCAUGCCGCGUGAAGGAAAACGGUCCUAUGGAUUUUAAACUUCUUUUGUACGGGAGCAAUAAGGUGCACGCGUGCAUCGAUGAGAGUACCGUACGAAUAAGCAUCGGCUAACUCCGUGCCAGCAGCCGCGGUAAUACGGAGGAUGCGAGCGUUAUCCGGAUUUAUUGGGUUUAAAGGGUGCGUAGGCUGUUGUUCAAGUCAGAGGUGAAAUCCCGGAGCCUAACUCCGGAACUGCCUUUGAUACUGGACGGCUGGAAUACUGUUGCCGUGGGAGGAAUGAGUAGUGUAGCGGUGAAAUGCAUAGAUAUUACUCAGAACACCGAUUGCGAAGGCAUCUCACGAAGCAGUCAUUGACGCUGAGGCACGAAAGCGUGGGGAUCAAACAGGAUUAGAUACCCUGGUAGUCCACGCAGUAAACGAUGAUGACUAACCGUCGGCGAUAGACAGCCGGUGGCCAAGCGAAAGCGAUAAGUCAUCCACCUGGGGAGUACGUUCGCAAGAAUGAAACUCAAAGGAAUUGACGGGGGCCCGCACAAGCGGAGGAACAUGUGGUUUAAUUCGAUGAUACGCGUGGAACCUUACCCGGGCUCGAACGGCUGGUGAAGAGAUACAGAGAUGUUGACGUCCUUCGGGACACCAGUCGAGGUGCUGCAUGGUUGUCGUCAGCUCGUGUCGUGAGAUGUUGGCUCAAGUGCCAUAACGAGCGCAACCCUUGCUGUCAGUUACCAGCAUGUAAAGAUGGGGACUCUGACAGGACUGCCACCGCAAGGUGUGAGGAAGGCGGGGAUGACGUCAAAUCAGCACGGCCCUUACGUCCGGGGCGACACACGUGUUACAAUGGUGACUACAGAGGGAAGCCACCCAGCGAUGGGGCGCGGAUCUCGAAAAGUCAUCUCAGUUCGGAUUGGAGUCUGCAACUCGACUCCAUGAAGCUGGAUUCGCUAGUAAUCGCGCAUCAGCCAUGGCGCGGUGAAUACGUUAACCGGGCCUUGCACACACCGCCCGUCAAG